rnacentral:rRNA from 1 species
AGAACUUAGCAGAGAUGCUUUGGUGCCUUCGGGAACUCUGAGACAGGUGCUGCAUGGCUGUCGUCAGCUCGUGUUGUGAAAUGUUGGGUUAAGUCCCGCAACGAGCGCAACCCUUAUCCUUUGUUGCCAGCGGUUAGCCGGGAACUCAAAGGAGACUGCCAGUGAUAAACUGGAGGAAGGUGGGGAUGACGUCAAGUCAUCAUGGCCCUUACGAGUAGGGCUACACACGUGCUACAAUGGCGCAUACAAAGAGAAGCGACCUCGCGAGAGCAAGCGGACCUCAUAAAGUGCGUCGUAGUCCGGAUUGGAGUCUGCAACUCGACUCCAUGAAGUCGGAAUCGCUAGUAAUCGUGGAUCAGAAUGCCACGGUGAAUACGUUCCCGGGCCUUGUACACACCGCCCGUCACACCAUGGGAGUGGGUUGCAAAAGAAGUAGGUAGCUUAACCUUCGGGAGGGCGCUUACCACUUUGUGAUUCAUGACUGGGGUGAAGUCGUAACAAGGUAAGCGUAGUGCU